AAUAGUCGUCCCCGUGUUCCUCCUCAUCAUCAUCAUCAUCGUCUGCUACCUUACUUGGAGAUGCAGGUGUAAAACAAGAGAAAAUGAAGAAGGGUGCCCAGUCUAUGAAGAGAUACCGGAGGGAUCAGCGUGUCAACCUUCAAAUGGAAGCACCACUGGACCAACAAAUACAUACUGCAUGGUGACGUUUCCAGGU